rnacentral:rRNA from 1 species
AACGAACGCUGGCGGCAUGCCUAACACAUGCAAGUCGAACGAAGGCUUCGGCCUUAGUGGCGCACGGGUGCGUAACGCGUGGGAAUCUGCCCUUUGGUUCGGAAUAACAGCUGGAAACGGCUGCUAAUACCGGAUGAUGACGAGAGUCCAAAGAUUUAUCGCCAGAGGAUGAGCCUGCGUUGGAUUAGGUAGUUGGUGGGGUAAAGGCCUACCAAGCCGACGAUCCAUAGCUGGUCUGAGAGGAUGAUCAGCCACACUGGGACUGAGACACGGCCCAGACUCCUCCGGGAGGCAGCAGUGGGGAAUAUUGGACAAUGGGCGCAAGCCUGAUCCAGCAAUGCCGCGUGAGUGAUGAAGGCCCUAGGGUUGUAAAGCUCUUUUACCCGGGAAGAUAAUGACUGUACCGGGAGAAUAAGCCCCGGCUAACUCCGUGCCAGCCGCCGCUGUAAUAC